CUACUGACGCUGAGGCGCGAAAGCGUGGGGAGCAAACAGGAUUAGAUACCCUGGUAGUCCACGCAGUAAACGAUGAAUGUUAGUCGUCGGGGGCCUAGUGUCUUCGGUGAUGCAGCUAACGCAUUAAACAUUCCGCCUGGGGAGUACGGUCGCAAGAUUAAAACUCAAAGGAAUAGACGGGGACCCGCACAAGUGGUGGAGCAUGUGGUUUAAUUCGAAGAUACGCGAAGAACCUUACCUAGCCUUGACAUAUAUGAGAACCUGCCAGAGAUGGCGGGGUGCCUUCGGGAGCUCAUAUACAGGUGCUGCACGGCUGUCGUCAGCUCGUGUCGUGAGAUGUUGGGUUAAGUCCCGCAACGAGCGCAACCCUCGUCACUAGUUACUAACGGUUCGGCCGAGGACUCUAGUGAGACUGCCUUCGCAAGGAGGAGGAAGGUGAGGACGACGUCAAGUCAUCAUGGCCCUUACGGCUAGGGCAACACACGUGCUACAAUGGCCAGGACAGUGAGACGCGAUACCGCGAGGUGGAGCAAAUCUAUAAACCUGGUCUCAGUUCGGAUUGUAGUCUGCAACUCGACUACAUGAAGCUGGAAUCACUAGUAAUCGUAGAUCAGCUAUGCUACGGUGAAUACGUUCCCGGGUCU
rnacentral:rRNA from 1 species